GGGAGCAGGGCACAGCGCACGGGAAAGGGAUGUAGUGCUCGCUGCGAAAGCAUCUUUCGUACAGUUCCUCGUUAGUAUAGUGGUCUCAGAUGGAGAGGAACAGUCAUGUCAGACGUGUGCUGUGUCAGUAACAGAUGGGAGAAAGAAGAACCAAGACCCCAAACUGUCAGGAUUGCUACCGAAUCCACGCACAAAUGUACUGGCAGAGGUUAUGUUCAUUUCAAGACUGGUGCUGAUGGUGCACCAUAGAAACUACAGAAACUGAGAGAGCUGAAGGAGGACGACAAACCUUGUGGAGUUUGAGACUAGAGUGAAACCCCAUGAAGUUCCCUUUAAUGGCCAAGACAACACGUGAAAACGGCGUCUCAACAAGUAUGCUGGGGUGUUGCUUCCUGCUGCCAGACAGAGAGACAAGCCUGGAAAACACUUGUUAUAAACUCAGUUGAAAAGA